GAGGGGUUAGUUUAAAUAAAACCUUAACUUGUCAAGUUAAAAAUAUUUUAAUAAAAAUAGCCCUUA
rnacentral:tRNA from 1 species